rnacentral:misc_RNA from 1 species
GUGAGUCAUCGAAUCUUUGAACGCACCUUGCGCCCUUUGGUAUUCCGAUGGGCAUGCCUGUUUGAGUGUCUUGAAAUCAUCAAACCCCCGGUUUUGCGAUCGUGGGGCUUGGACUUGGGGGCUCUGCUGCCGCGAGGCGGCUCCCCUUAAAUGCAUCGGUCGGGCCUACUGGGGCUCCGUCACCUGGGCGUUGUAUUACCCUCGCUCUUCCGACAUGCCUCAGCUUUGCGCGCCCGACCCCGACCUGCCUCUGGAGCGGCGGUCAACACUCUUUGAGAUCUGACCUCAAAUCAGGUAGGACUACCCGCUGAACUUAAGCAUAUCAAUAAGCGGAGGA